rnacentral:hammerhead_ribozyme from 1 species
AUUCAGAUGACUAGUCCCAAAUAGGACGAAACGCGCAUCCUAGAU